GACCUGGCUCUAAAGCCAUGACAAAACUAAAAGGACGCAGUUUUAACCCACAAAAAUGAAAUUUAUUAACUGAACAAAAACACCAAUACAACAACUAACAUAACAUAAUACAACAGUGACGUGUGAGAAUCAGUAAAGUCAGUAGAAUGAGGUGCAUGUUUGAAUGAAUGGAUCGUAUACUGUUGCGUGUUGCAUGAACAAAACAACCAGUGCACGGGAGAGAAGGGCUCUCCCUUCACAAAGAGAGUGGCAGGUUUAUAAAGGCGUGAAACACCUGGGCCCAGGUGUCCCCAAUCUCGCUGACAAAUGAUAGCCACGCCCCCUGCAACAGAGAACAUACCAUACACAAGGAAACAGUCCUGACCAACAGGCCAUCACACCCCCCCCCAUAAGAACGGGUUCCCAUAAACUCUCAAAAUCAGUGACCUCAGCAGACGCACACCAUCGUGAAAAGCAAGUGGUUAAAUCCCGCACAAAUUCUAGAUGGCUCUGCUUCGGACCUUUUUUCCAAGAUCUAAAUCUUUGUCUGUAAUAUUCUGGAACGCGUUCAUAAGCCUUCAACACGGCAGCUUUCACCCUUGCAUAAUCUUGACUAUCUGCCGCAGUUACUGCUGAAUAGGCCUCUUGAGCUUUACCAGUUAACACGCAUUGAAGCAUCAAAGCACGAGCUGCUGCCGGCCAGUUACGUGCAUCUGCAACCCUUUCAAAUAGCAGAAAAAAAGAAUCUGGAUCACUCUCCGAAAACUUCGGCACCAGUCGCAAAUUUCCCAACACAUCAAAAUCAGAGCUAAGCUGCUGAGGAUCUGAAGCUAACUCCAAAUGCACUCCAGGUCGAGAUGUACUUUUACCCUCGCGAAUCACCUCGAGUUGAUGUUCCAAAUCCAAGCGCGUUUGCUCAGUUUGCUGACGCAACUUUUCCACAGCCAAAUCUUUCUCGAUUGUGGCGUUCACUUUAUAUUUAUCAUAUUCGAUUUGCAACAUAAAAAGUUCUUUCCUCUCUGCAAAACUCAAUCCCUCCAUUGAUACAGGCGCAAAAGACGAAUCAGUCAAUUUUUCUUCCACCAAAAUUUUCUGUUCAACCAAUUUACUCUUUACACUGCCUUUUAUUUUUUCUUUUUUAGAACUACUACUAACCUCAACUUGAUAGUAGUCUGCUAACUGCAGCAACUGCUCUUUUGUACAUUGCUCAAACGCCUUUUCCGACGGACAAGCAAUAAAUUCCUCCACAAUCGACAUUAUCAAAAUGCGCAAAAACAGCUCAGCAAGUAUAUAACUCAAAACACACAAUGGCCAAGAUCUAAAUGCAAAGGAUGUCCCCCUAACUAACUCAGCCCCCAAAAGCUACCUACCUAAACUAAAACCUUUCUCUUCAUGCAGUUACCGGCGGUGGGCAUUUAAGCACCAACGCCCGAUGGACAGGACAAGCAACCAGAACCUGGCGACUCGCCCCAGACCACGGAUGUGCGCCCGAGACAAUUGCUCUAACCGCCUUCACCACAACACUACAAAACCCAGCCCAAAAAAAAAAAAAAAAA